GUGAUUUUGGUUUAGGGGUAGUGCAUCGUUAAAAAUUAGGGUGUUGAGGGUGUGAAAGUUGUUAUACAGGUUGCUCGUCGGGGAGUUCGAUGAAUUACAGGUCCUAGGUCACUUAUGAGAGGAAAAGGAUAGGGAUUUCGAGUUACUAUGGUUGAGGGUGUGUUUAGAGUGUUGAGACAGUGUAGAGGGGUCAUUUGGGGCUUGUUGAGAGCACUUUGUUGGUAGGAUGGAGGAAUCUUAAAAACCUGAGUUGGCACAUCCCUGAUCAUAGAGCAGCCCU
rnacentral:lncRNA from 1 species